AGUAAGCUAUUGCUGUCUGACAUGUUGAUGUAUCAUGUAUUUAUGACAUGCUGGAAAGUAACAGAUGCAUUACAUAUUGGAAAGCUUACUCACUUUCUUCUACCUAAAACUGACAGAUUUUAGUUUUGUGUUCAGUUGGUAACGUUUGCUUCGUGCUCAUACCCCUGCACCUGUCACCAAGUUAUUCACAGCCAGCCAAUAGACUGGUAGGUAUGGAACCUGAAGGUUAGUUAGCUGCAACUACUGAACAGUACACAUGUUCAUGCAUAUAUCAGCAUCACAAGGGCUUGGUCCAUAAUGAACUAGACUGAGUGAAACACUCAAGUGGAGGAGACAAUGGAGGGAGAUGGCGACGCUGCGACGGCGCCGUUGCUGGACUUCAUCGAUGACCAGUCAGCCGCCUCGGAGGAGCUGCUGCGGUGGGAGCCAGUGCCAUUCGACGUGCUGUCGCGGCUGGCAUUGUGGGAAGCCGGCAACCUGUGGCGCAUCUCAUGGGCGUCCAUCCUCAUCACGCUCUUCAGCUUCACUCUCAGCCUCGUCACGCAGAUGUUUGUUGGCCACCUUGGUGAGCUCGAGCUCGCUGGGGCCUCCAUCACCAACAUCGGCAUCCAGGGCCUAGCCUACGGCAUCAUGCUCGGCAUGUCGACUGCAGUGCAGACGGUGUGCGGCCAGGCCUACGGUGCGAGGAGGUACAGGGCGAUGGGCGUUGUUUGCCAGAGAGCGCUCCUCCUCCAGUUUGUGACGGCCGUCGCCAUCGCUUUCUUCUACUGGUACUCUGGGCCAUUCCUGCGGCUCAUUGGGCAGGCUGAGGAUGUGGCUGUGGCGGGGCAGCUGUAUGCUCGUGGGCUGGUGCCGCAGCUGCUCGCGUUUGCACUCUUCUGCCCGAUGCAGAGGUUCCUGCAGGCUCAGAACAUCGUCAACCCCGUGGCAUACAUGGUGCUUGCUGUGCUCGUCUUCCACAUCCUCAUCUCGUGGCUCGCUGUGUUCGUUCUCAGCUUUGGCCUUCUCGGCGCGGCUCUGACGCUGAGCUUCUCUUGGUGGGUGCUUGUGGCGUUGACAUGGGCAUACAUCAUCUGGAGCCCGGCUUGUAAGGAGACGUGGACCGGGCUGUCCAUGCUCGCUUUCAGAGGCCUCUGGGGAUACGCCAAGCUCGCCUUCGCAUCGGCUGUUAUGCUAGCAUUGGAGGUCUGGUACGUGCAAGGAUUUGUGCUUCUGACUGGCUUCCUCCCCAACUCAGAGAUUGCUCUUGAUUCGCUCUCUAUCUGCAUCAACUACUGGAACUGGGACUUCCAAAUCAUGCUUGGUUUAAGCUAUGCGGCCAGUAUCCGUGUCGGCAACGAGCUUGGCGCUGGCCAUCCAAAGGUCGCAAGGUUGUCGGUCCUGGUGGUCGUCACGGUGAGCAUCGCCUUCAGCAUUCUCGCCACAAUCGUCGUCAUGGCCCUCAAGUACCCGCUGAGCACCCUCUACACGAGUAGCACGACGGUGAUUGAGGCUGUCAUUGCACUGAUGCCGUUGCUGGCCAUCAGCAUCUUCUUGAAUGGGAUCCAGCCAAUCCUCUCAGGAGUCGCCGUCGGGAGCGGGUGGCAAGUCAUAGUUGCCUAUGUCAACGUCGGGGCUUACUACAUCAUUGGGCUGCCAAUCGGAUGCGUUCUGGGGUUCAAAACAAGCCUGGGAGCAGCUGGGAUCUGGUGGGGCUUGAUCAUAGGGGUGGCGGUGCAGACAGUGGCUCUGAUCGUCAUCACGGCCAGGACCAACUGGGACAGCGAGGUGGAGAAGGCGAUCCAGCGGCUGCGGCACACCGCUGCAGACGAGGGUGGCAUGGUGGUCGACGGCGACGUCUAAUGACCGGGCCCAUGGAUGUGUCUGGGGCUCUGUUUGGUGGCCAUUGUUUGCUAGGAGCUGGAUAAACUUGUACUCCCUCCGUCCGAGAAAAGUUGUCUCCAGCGUAGUGCACUGCAAAUUUUGCAAAAACAUCCUCGCAGCUUCAAAUCUGUUACAAAGAGGUCGCCGUGUGCCUUCUUCCUCCGCCACGCGCGCGUUGCCAGGGCCCGUCGUCGACCAGGAGCCGCGUCGGCCAAUUGCUUGCUCCGGCGCCGCCCAGGCCGCCCAAUUGCUUGCUCCUCCGCCACCCAGGACCUGCGCUGCCGCCACGCCAGUGCCCGUCGUCGCCCAGGAGCCGCGCCGCCCAAUUGCUUGCUCCUCUGCCACCCAGGCCGCCCAAUUGCUUGCUCCUCCGCCACCCAGGACCUGCUCCGCCGCCACCGCGAGGCCUGCGCUGCCGAUAUCCCCUCAAGCUCGUCCUGGACCUCAAGCACUCCCGUGGGCCUGGACCUCAAGCUCGAUCUCCCUCUGCUGCUCCUCUGCAACUUGCUGCUCCUCCCCUGCUCUUGCUGCCGUUCGGAGUUCCCCUGCUUGUGUGCUGCCGCCGGAGGUCCCCUUCUCGUGCUGCUGCCGGUGAGAACAAGUACAGGGCUCCUUGCUUGUUCAUCUCCAGGUACCUUGCUCGCAGUAUCUCCUCUGCAAGCACAGCGAGAAGAAGUACAGGGCUGCCCGUGAGAAAAUGUGCAAAGUAAAAUUGAUGAAUUCAGUUAACUCUUAAUUUGGAAAAAAAUCAGUUUAUGUGCUGAGUAAUUGAAGUGUUCAGUGAUCAAAAUUAUUGGCUAAGCAGAAGUUAACUUUGAGUAGUUUGAUGUUGAUUCUCCUCCUACAUUACAUGUUCAUGUGAGUAGUUAGAUGUUGGAAAAAAAAUCAGUUAGCUGUUAA